rnacentral:rRNA from 1 species
UACGGGAGGCAGCAGUGGGGAAUAUUGCACAAUGGGCGCAAGCCUGAUGCAGCCAUGCCGCGUGUAUGAAAAAGGCCUUCGGGGUUGUAAAGUACUUUCAGUCGUGAGGAAGGUGUUAAGGUUAAUAACCUUAGCAAUUGACGUUAGCGACAGAAGAAGCACCGGCUAACUCCGUGCCAGCAGCCGCGGUAAUACGGAGGGUGCGAGCGUUAAUCGGAAUUACUGGGCGUAAAGGGCACGCAGGCGGUUAAUUAAGUUGGAUGUAAAAUCCCCGGGCUUAACCUGGGAAUGGCAUUCAAGACUGGUUAGCUAGAGUCUUGUAGAGGGGGUAGAAUUCCAUGUGUAGCGGUGAAAUGCGUAGAGAUGUGGAGGAAUACCGGUGGCGAAGGCGGCCCCUGGACAAGACUGACGCUCAUGUGCGAAAGCGUGGGGAGCAAACAGGGAUUAGAUACC